rnacentral:rRNA from 1 species
UACGUAGGUGGCAAGCGUUGUCCGGAAUUAUUGGGCGUAAAGCGCGCGCAGGCGGUCCCUUAAGUCUGAUGUGAAAGCCCACGGCUCAACCGUGGAGGGUCAUUGGAAACUGGGGGACUUGAGUGCAGAAGAGGAAAGUGGAAUUCCAUGUGUAGCGGUGAAAUGCGUAGAGAUGUGGAGGAACACCAGUGGCGAAGGCGACUUUCUGGUCUGUAACUGACGCUGAGGCGCGAAAGCGUGGGGAGCAAACUGG